UACGUAGGUGGCAAGCGUUGUCCGGAUUUACUGGGCGUAAAGCGCGCGCAGGCGGAUUGGUCAGUCCGGGGUGAAAUCUCACGGCUCAACUGUGAGCGGUCCCCGGAUACUGGCCAGUCUCGAGGUGUCUAGAGGAGAGCGGAAUUCCCGGUGUAGUGGUGGAAUGCGUAGAUAUCGGGGAAGAACACCAGUGGCGAAAGCGGCUCUCUGGGGGACCACCUGACGCUGAGGCGCGAAAGCGUGGGGAGCGAACCGG
rnacentral:rRNA from 1 species